rnacentral:ncRNA from 1 species
GACCGACAAAGGCAAACUUACUGAAAGGUAAGGACGCAAAGCCGUGGAUCUAAGGUUCAUUUGAACUAUGAUCGCCAGGUUACCGAA